AUGGGACUCGUGGCGGGAGCGGGGAGAGGCUGCGGCGCGGCUGCGUCCCCUCUGCGCCCCAGCCCUGCGCUCCUCCGCCCUUCCCGGGAGAGGUGGGGGCGCGGGGGGCGCAGACCGUGGAGUUUAAACGCUGGAAAAGUGGAAACAGAUGCGUGGAGGGCAGAGGCCGGUGGGAGCGCAGGGCCGGAAGCCGCCCGCCCCGGCUCGGAGGGCGGCGCCGGCUGCGGGAGGGGCGCCCCUCGAGGCGGAGGCUCGCUCGGAAGCCUCACCCCGGACGUGAGAGCCCGCGGGGGGCGGCGGCGGUGCAGCCCCUGCCGGCGGGGAGCAGCGCGGGCCCCGUUCGCGCGCAGGCACCGCAGCGCCCGCCAAGAGCCGCCGCGGGCCGGGCCGAGCGCAUCGCGGCGACGCGGGGCCGGCGGGGGCCGGGGGGGUCGGGGGGGGCCGGGGGGCGGGGCCUCGGAGCGCGCGGGCCGCCCCGCACUGCCCUGCGGCCGCCGGCCCCUGGAGGCCGCCCCGCCCCGCCCCGCCCGCCCGCCCGCGGCGUUCCCCAGGGGCCGGGCUGCCGGGCGCGGUACCGCGGACUGGGCCGGCGUCGUGCACGCAGCCCAGGGCCCUGGAGGGCGCCGGACCUCGGGCCCAGCGUGUGCGGAGGAGGACGGCAGGCCCCGCGCCCCCGAGCCAGUCCUCGAGCGAGGUCCGCAGGGGGCACCGGGCAGCGGUGGUCCUGGUCCCGGUUCGGACCGUACGUGGGACUUGAGCGGUUCUUGUAGCUUCUUGCAAAGGGCAUCGCAAGAGUUCUCCCGCCUGUGCCGGUGCUGUCCUAGAGCCCGGGCCGACCGCAGCGCUGCUACCCCCGCACCCCCUGAGCGCGGACGCGUCUUCAGAGGCCCCAUCGCCGUGUCACCAGCGCCGGAGGGCGAGGGCGAGGGCGAGGGCGACGCCAGCCUCCGCUCCCCGGAGACCACAUGCUCCCAAGGCCGCCUGCUCGGCUGCUGGCUGCUCGGGCGGAGGGGUGCGUGUGUGCACGUGGAUGCAGUGAACUCUACUUUCAAAAUCCCCGAACACCGAAGUUGGCUCAUCCAUCAACACUGA
rnacentral:lncRNA from 12 species